UACGUAGGGUGCAAGCGUUACUCGGAAUUACUGGGCGUAAAGCGUGCGCAGGCGGCUUUGCAAGACAGAUGCGAAAUCCCCGGGCUUAACCUGGGAACUGCAUUUGUGACUGCAUGGCUGGAGUGCGGCAGAGGGGGAUGGAAUUCCGCGUGUAGCAGUGAAAUGCGUAGAUAUGCGGAGGAACACCGAUGGCGAAGGCAAUCCCCUGGGCCUGCACUGACGCUCAUGCACGAAAGCGUGGGGAGCAAACAGG
rnacentral:rRNA from 1 species